CCUACGGGUGGCUGCAGUGAGGAAUAUUGGUCAAUGGGCGAGAGCCUGAACCAGCCAAGUCGCGUGAGGGAGUACUGCCCUAUGGGUUGUAAACCUCUUUUGUCGGGGAGCAAAAGCCGGACGUGUCCGGCUGUGAGAGUACCCGAAGAAAAAGCAUCGGCUAACUCCGUGCCAGCAGCCGCGGUAAUACGGAGGAUGCGAGCGUUAUCCGGAUUUAUUGGGUUUAAAGGGUGCGCAGGCGGCGAGUUAAGUCAGCGGUAAAAUUUCGGGGCUCAACCCCGACGAGCCGUUGAAACUGGCUUGCUAGAGUGGGCGAGAAGUAUGCGGAAUGCGUGGUGUAGCGGUGAAAUGCAUAGAUAUCACGCAGAACUCCGAUUGCGAAGGCAGCAUACCGGCGCCCAACUGACGCUCAGGCACGAAAGCGUGGGUAUCGAACAGGAUUAGAUACCCCUGUAGUC
rnacentral:rRNA from 1 species